rnacentral:rRNA from 1 species
AGGAAUACAUCGGAAUCUACUCUGUCGUGGGGGAUAACGUAGGGAAACUUACGCUAAUACGCAGUCGAGCGAACAGACAAGGAGCUUGCUCCUUUGACGUUAGCGGCGGACGGGUGAGUAACACGUGGGUAACCUACCUAUAAGACUGGGAUAACUUCGGGAAACCGGAGCUAAUACCGGAUAAUAUUUCGAACCGCAUGGUUCGAUAGUGAAAGAUGGUUUUGCUAUCACUUAUAGAUGGACCCGCGCCGUAUUAGCUAGUUGGUAAGGUAACGGCUUACCAAGGCGACGAUACGUAGCCGACCUGAGAGGGUGAUCGGCCACACUGGAACUGAGACACGGUCCAGACUCCUACGGGAGGCAGCAGUAGGGAAUCUUCCGCAAUGGGCGAAAGCCUGACGGAGCAACGCCGCGUGAGUGAUGAAGGUCUUCGGAUCGUAAAACUCUGUUAUUAGGGAAGAACAUACGUGUAAGUAACUAUGCACGUCUUGACGGUACCUAAUCAGAAAGCCACGGCUAACUACGUGCCAGCAGCCGCGGUAAUACGUAGGUGGCAAGCGUUAUCCGGAAUUAUUGGGCGUAAAGCGCGCGUAGGCGGUUUUUUAAGUCUGAUGUGAAAGCCCACGGCUCAACCGUGGAGGGUCAUUGGAAACUGUAAAACUUGAGUGCAGAAGAGGAAAGUGGAAUUCCAUGUGUAGCGGUGAAAUGCGCAGAGAUAUGGAGGAACACCAGUGGCGAAGGCGACUUUCUGGUCUGUAACUGACGCUGAUGUGCGAAAGCGUGGGGAUCAAACAGGAUUAGAUACCCUGGUAGUCCACGCCGUAAACGAUGAGUGCUAAGUGUUAGGGGGUUUCCGCCCCUUAGUGCUGCAGCUAACGCAUUAAGCACUCCGCCUGGGGAGUACGACCGCAAGGUUGAAACUCAAAGGAAUUGACGGGGACCCGCACAAGCGGUGGAGCAUGUGGUUUAAUUCGAAGCAACGCGAAGAACCUUACCAAAUCUUGACAUCCUUUGACAACUCUAGAGAUAGAGCCUUCCCCUUCGGGGGACAAAGUGACAGGUGGUGCAUGGUUGUCGUCAGCUCGUGUCGUGAGAUGUUGGGUUAAGUCCCGCAACGAGCGCAACCCUUAAGCUUAGUUGCCAUCAUUAAGUUGGGCACUCUAAGUUGACUGCCGGUGACAAACCGGAGGAAGGUGGGGAUGACGUCAAAUCAUCAUGCCCCUUAUGAUUUGGGCUACACACGUGCUACAAUGGACAAUACAAAGGGCAGCGAAACCGCGAGGUCAAGCAAAUCCCAUAAAGUUGUUCUCAGUUCGGAUUGUAGUCUGCAACUCGACUACAUGAAGCUGGAAUCGCUAGUAAUCGUAGAUCAGCAUGCUACGGUGAAUACGUUCCCGGGUCUUGUACACACCGCCCGUCACACCACGAGAGUUUGUAACACCCGAAGCCGGUGGAGUAACCAUUUGGAGCUAGC